GCCUGGCUGGCUCAGUCAGUAGAGCAUGCCAUUCUUGAUCUCAAGGUCCUGAGUUCAAGCCUCAGGUUGGGCA
rnacentral:tRNA from 1 species